ACAGACCCAGUCUGCUGAACGUUCCCCUGAUGGGUAGAGCAGUGUCUGGUUGGUCUGGUUGUUGUGUGCAGUGACUGGCCAUGAACCCGUGAUACCCGACAUCAUUUUCGGAUCAGGAGUCUCAGGACUCAGCCUCAGUUUCUGCAGAUGGAUCCCCACUUCAAGUGCAACGUACCGGACUGCGGGAGAUCAUUCAGAACGGAAUCAGAACUACGAGCUCACAAGCGGUGGCACGACAAGGAAGGUUUUAAGUUUGCAAGAUUCAGGGGUGUGAGACGCGUUACAAGUACCAGAAAGCUCUGAACUCCCAUAUGAAGCUUCACACCGGAGAAAGACCAUGUGAAUGUGAUGUAUGUAAGAGAAGCUUUUCUAGGGCGGGGUAUCUGAAAAGGCAUCAGGAAUUUCACAUUGGAGAGAUGUCAGCACCGAAUGUGAUUGGUCCAGCCAGCUUUCAUUAUGCGCCAUACGGACAGCAGCUGGAACAACAUGGAAGUUCAUCCCAGCCCUGGAUUUGUCAUGGCAGCACCUGUCUCCAACUGUACUUCCUUCCCAGUCAUCACGUCUCUCGCCUGAACCCGGGCCAUCCGCCUUGCCUGGGCAGGAGGAGAUCACGAUGUUUGGCGAUAGGAAUAUAGGUUGUGCUGUCUGGCGAAGCUCAUCUUACACACAUCGCAUUCAAACGGCCUUUCUCCGCUGUGAAGUUUUGAAGUUAUCCCGUUGUGUGAAACUCGUCUGACAGCCCUCAUACACGCAAACAAAUGCACCUUCCUUAUUGUGCCCCCUCUUGUGAGCAUUCUGUUCUGGUCGCGUUCUGAAUGAUCUCCUGCAGCCCGUUACGUCGCACUUGAAGGCGGGAUCCUUCUGCAAAAUUUCGCCAAAUUUGUUCAUAUUAGAGACUAAUUUAU